AUUGAACGCUGGCGGCGUGCCUAAUACAUGCAAGUCGAGCGAACAGAUGAGAAGCUUGCUUCUCUGAUGUUAGCGGCGGACGGGUGAGUAACACGUGGGUAACCUACCUAUAAGACUGGGAUAACUCCGGGAAACCGGGGCUAAUACCGGAUAAUAUUUUGAACCGCAUGGUUCAAUAGUGAAAGACGGUUUCGGCUGUCACUUAUAGAUGGACCCGCGCCGUAUUAGCUAGUUGGUAAGGUAACGGCUUACCAAGGCGACGAUACGUAGCCGACCUGAGAGGGUGAUCGGCCACACUGGAACUGAGACACGGUCCAGACUCCUACGGGAGGCAGCAGUAGGGAAUCUUCCGCAAUGGGCGAAAGCCUGACGGAGCAACGCCGCGUGAGUGAUGAAGGUCUUCGGAUCGUAAAACUCUGUUGUUAGGGAAGAACAAAUUUGUUAGUAACUGAACAAGUCUUGACGGUACCUAACCAGAAAGCCACGGCUAACUACGUGCCAGCCGCCGCUGUAA
rnacentral:rRNA from 1 species